rnacentral:lncRNA from 1 species
AAGGGGCCCUGGGCCUAAUUUGGGAUUUUUUUUGGAACACGUGCAGGUACCAGUAGUACGUUUCAGUUCCCCGAGGAAAAUUCAGGAAAAAUUAGGGACAGCCUGCAAGCGCACUGUGAAGCCGUGUUCGGACCCCGAAACGAGUAAGGACCCCUCACCCUAUUUCCUAUCACGGUUUUAAAGUCCAAUAAAUGAUAAAACGGUUUUUCAUGAAUCAACGAAUGUGUGAAAUUGCUUAAGGUCGCUAAUGGAGCCCGAGUCUAGUGUGUUUGUCGGUUAACUGUUAUUUG